rnacentral:rRNA from 1 species
CUCGUAGGCGGUUCGGUAAGUCGGGUGUGAAAACUCUAGGCUCAACCUAGAGAGGCCACUCGAUACUGCUGUGACUAGAGUGCGGUAGGGGAGCGGGGAAUUCAUGGUGUAGCGGUGAAAUGCGCAGAUAUCAUGAGGAACACCAGUGGCGAAGGCGCCGCUCUGGGCCGUAACUGACGCUGAGGAGCGAAAGCAUGGGUAGCAAACA